GACGAACGCUGGCGGCGUGCUUAACACAUGCCAGUCGAACGGAAAGGCCCUGCUUUUGUGGGGUGCUCGAGUUGCGAACGGGUGAGUAACACGUGAGUAACCUGCCCUUGACUUUGGGAUAACUUCAUGAAACUGGGGCUAAUCCCGGAUAGGAGCUCCUGCUGCAUGGUGGGGGUUGGAAAGUUUCGGCGGUUGGGGGUGGAAUCGCGGCGUAUCAGCUUGUUGGUUGGGUAGUGGAUUACCAAGGCUUUGAGGGGUAGCCGGGCUGAGAGGGUGACCGGCCAAAUUGGGACUGAGAUGAGGCACAGACUACUACGGGAGGCAGCAGUGGGGAAUAGUGCACAAUGGGCGGAAGCAUGAUGCAGCAAAGCCGCGUGCGGGAUGACGGCAUUCGGGUUGUAAACCGCAUUCGCCUGUGACGAAGCGUGAGUGACGGUAAUGGGUAAAGAAGCUCCGGCUAACUACGUG
rnacentral:rRNA from 1 species